rnacentral:lncRNA from 1 species
GUCACCGCAGCCGCCACCUCUUUCUCCGCCCUCCGUCCGUCCGCCGACGCCGAUCCGCCCCUUUCCGGACGAUUUCCAUUCGUCUUCCGGUUAGGGUUAAAUCCCAACUGUUCGUAGACCCGGAUCCCUCCAGCCCGAACGGCCGGUUCUCCCCCACUCGAACCGCCGGGUCCGAGCCAACCAUACCUCCCGGUCCGAACCCUUCUUUAUCGCCGGAUCCGCACCAGACAGUCUCGCCAGCGCGAACCCUUCUGGAUCGCCUGGUCGGCACCGGCCGGCUUCACCUGGUCAGAGACAAUCCACCAACCAACGAGGUCAGAGUCACUUAGGCGACUUCCUCUGGCUGGUAAUCUCAUAUCUCAUACCCUGUAUUUUCCUAGUUAUUUAAUGUAUUCUUCUUGUGACUAUCUUAGAGUAAGCAUAGGGUAAUUACUUAUCUAACAUUGAAUGGUCGUACCUCAUGAUAAGCUAGAUUUACCAUAUUAUUUAUCGAUCAACUUAUUUGGUGUUUGUCUAAACUGCAUGAUCCUAAUUCCACUUUUUUUCUUGUAUAUAGUUUCAAGUUUUUUAGGACAUUUAAAUUCUUAUUAAUUUAUUGAUGUUGGUUGUGACAUUUGGUGUGUUUUAUCAAUCAUUUCUCAUGCCAUUAUUAUCAUCCACAUUGCUCAUGCUGUGAUAAUUGAUUGGCAUUGAACUCAUUGCACCAGAUUUUCAUGCGCACAUGAGCAGGCUCGACCAAAUUUGUAAAUGACAAGCAACAUUGAAGUUCCAUUGUUCAAGUGGAGUGCUAGAUAGCAGGAGACAUGUGGCACCAGAAAUCAACCCAACAAGGAUAUCAGUGUUGACUUGUGAAACUCUCGUUCAUCUCUCUAAGGUAUACAUGUGGCGAUUUUAGAGCCCUUCCUCUGAUGCUACUUCUCGUCAUAGUCUCAUGCAAGGAGCAAUAUGAGAUGAACAUAGUAGAUAAAAGACAAUUCUACACAAAAAAAUAACAAACAGUGAAAAAUGAAGAUUGGAAGAGGGGAAAUUGAGUCAAAACUCAUUGUAAAUUACAAGUUCAAGUAGCUUAAAUCUUUUUGUGUGUGUGCACAUGCAUUUUGUUGAUGUAUCAUCUUUAGAUGAUAAUUAAGGUCAAUAGUUAAAAAAUAUUAGCGUAUCAAUACAAAAUGUGAGAAAACUGAAUGAAAACAUUAAAUCAACUCUUUUGAAUGCAUCUUAUGAAUUUUUGCUUAAAUAUCGACACUAAGAUCAAAAAAAUUUAAAUCAUUUCUCUAACAUACAAUAUAAAAUGAUUUUUAUUUAAUUUAAAAGUAUGGAAAAUAAUUUUUUCAUUAGUUACAAUGAUGUAUUUGCCAAGUUUGAAUUUUCUCUAAUCUAUCUAGAAACUUCUAUAGUGCCAUGGAGUAACAGGCCCAUUCAAAAAGCCCACAAUGGGCCUAUUGGAGAACCAUUACAGGGGAAAAACAUAGGCCCAGGGUAGAGAAAAGAGGGGGACUUCUUUUCUAUUGUUUGUGUCAGCAUGAAGGGGUAGUAGUGGUGACAGUUCAUGGUGGAGCAUGUUGUGGGGUUCAAUGGCAAAUCAACGGCAACAAACUAUGGCAGAGUUACAACAACUUGCAGUGGAGCGAUAGUGACAACUUGUGGCAUUGAUGACGUCUCCUCUUGAGUGAUAGGUGGAGGCGAGCUUUAUAGUGACAUUGAUAUGUCAGGGUAGAAAUUGGCAGCUAUGGUGACACAAAUGGAUGUGAUAGUGGGAACCCAUUCUUCUCAACCCAAUGACCUUCCCUCCCUCCAUGUGAUAACCAGAGACUGAUUAAGCAGCAAAUAUGAGACAUUAUAACUCUUCAUUUUUUAUUUAAAUCAUGAUUAGUUAUUAGUUUUCAUUUAAUCAUGUCAAUAAUAGUCACACAACACAUUUUAUUUUAUUUCCAUUUGAAUUUUAGUUGGUA